rnacentral:rRNA from 1 species
ACGAACGCUGGCGGCGUGCUUAACACAUGCAAGUCGAACGGUGAAGCGCCUUCCUUUUUGGUGGGUGUGGAUGAGUGGCGAACGGGUGAGUAACACGUGAGUAACCUGCCCCCUUCUUCUGGAUAACCGCAUGAAAGUGUGGGUAAUACGGGAUAUUCUGGGUCUGUCGCAUGAUGGGUCUGGGAAAGAUAUUGUUUCGGUGGGGGAUGGGCUCGCGGCCUAUCAGCUUGUUGGUGGGGUGAUGGCCUACCAAGGCGGUGACGGGUAGCCGGCCUGAGAGGGUGGACGGUCACACUGGGACUGAGACACGGCCCAGACUCCUACGGGAGGCAGCAGUGGGGAAUAUUGCACAAUGGGCGCAAGCCUGAUGCAGCGACGCCGCGUGAGGGAUGGAGGCCUUCGGGUUGUGAACCUCUUUCGCCAGUGAAGCAGGCCUGCCUCGUUUGUGGGUGGGUUGACGGUAGCUGGAUAAGAAGCGCCGGCUAACUACGUG